UACAGAGGGUGCGAGCGUUGUCCGGAAUCACUGGGCGUAAAGGGCGCGUAGGCGGCCCGACAAGUCAGCGGUGAAAGUUCGACGCUUAACGUCGAAUCGGCCACUGAUACUGUUGGGCUGGAGCACUGUAGAGGCUCAUGGAAUUCCGGGUGUAGCGGUGGAAUGCGUAGAGAUCCGGAAGAACACCGGUGGCGAAGGCGGUGAGCUGGGCAGUUGCUGACACUGAGGCGCGACAGCGUGGGGAGCAAACAGG
rnacentral:rRNA from 1 species